CGGGCUGCACGCGCGCUACACUGACAGAAGACAACGAGUGGUGCCCCUUGUCCGAAAUGACUGGGUAAACUUGUGAAACUUUGUCGUGCUGGGGAUGGAGCUUUGUAAUUUUUGCUCUUCAACGAGGAAUUCCUAGUAAGCGCAAGUCAUCAGCUUGCGUUGACUACGUCCCUGCCCUUUGUACACACCGCCCGUCGCUACUACCGAUUGAAUGGCUUAGUGAGGACUUGGGAGAGUACAUCGGGGAGCCAGCAAUGGCACCCUGACGGCUCAAACUCUUACAAACUUGGUCAUUUAGAGGAAGUAAAAGUCGUAACAAGGUAUCUGUAGGUGAACCUGCAGAUGGAUCAUUUCGAUGAAAAACCUUUUUUUCUGAGGUGUGGCUCGCACCUGUCCAACUAAACUUGAGCUACCCUUUUAUACACGGUUGCAUCGGUCGGCCUGUCCAACAGUGCGCGCGCGAAAUUUAUUUUCCGCUGCGCUGAGCAGACGGGUCGGCACUUUACACAAACACUUUUGAUAAUCUAGGAUUUGAAUGAAAGUUCAUUUUUAUGAUGGAUCCGACUGGUAAUGCGGUCGUCUAAAUCUAAAAAACAACUUUUGGCAACGGAUCUCUUGGUUCUCCCAUCGAUGAAGAACGCAGCGAAUUGCGAUAAGUAAUGUGAAUUGCAGAAGUGAAUCAUCGAAUCUUUGAACGCACCUUGCGCUCCCGGCAGAUCUAAUCUGGGGAGCAUGCCUGUUUGAGGGCCGCGAAUUGUUUCGAACGACAGCUUUUUUCAGUAAGAGCUGGCGGAAUCGGUAUUGAGGGUCUUUUUUGCCAUUCCCGUGGCUCCCUCGAAAUGCAUUAACCGCAUCCCUUUUGAUAGGCGAAAAAACGGACGAAAGCUCCGAUUUUUCGCCCCUUUUUUUUCCUGGCGGGGGUUUUGGAAAAAAAUCAGGGACUUUCGGAAGGCCGGAAAAAAAGGGGUUAAAAGCU
rnacentral:rRNA from 1 species